AUAUAUUUUAAAUCUGUUCUCAUCAGUUUAAUAUCUGACACGUCCCCUAUCUGGGGACCAUAUAUUAAAUAGAUUUUUGGAACAGGGAGAUGGAAUAGGGGCUUGCUCCGUCCACUCCACGCAUCGACCUGGUAUUGCAGUACCUCCAGGAACGGUGCACCCCCU
rnacentral:snRNA from 1 species